ensembl:lncRNA
AGGAAGACUUGAAGCAAGCCUACACUUUAGCCUCUGAUGCUGCAGACCAACAGCACCAGAGAAACAAGAGGUUGUAUGAUCGCAGAGUUAGCUUUCAGUCCAUAGAGAUCGGCGACAGAGUACUGCUCUGGAAUCUAGGUCUGAGAGGCAAGCACAAACUGGAAAGCAAGUGGAGUCCUGAUCCUUAUGUUGUCAUUGGAAAGAUGCCAAACCUACCUGUGUUCAAGAUCAAACGGGAUGAUGGAAGGCUAGGGACAAAGAAUAUACACAGGGACACCUUCUUCCAAUUGGACAGCUGGUGAGAAUGCCAUGCACUGACCAGGAUGCUCAACCACGUAAGAAACCCAAAACCAGAGCAGACACUCAUAAUAGAAGUCAAAGGGACUCAAGACAAGAGACUCAAGAGUUACAGGAAUUUUCUGAUUCAUCUCUGUGUCACUCAGAGAGAGCCUGUCCAAAGGGUGCGAAAUACUGCCAGUCGAAGUUGAAAAUGACCCUGCAGCUGAACAUGUUCAUGAAAUUGAUUCAGACCCAGAAGAGGUUGAUCACAACUGUGAACCAGAGUCUGAGGAUGAGGGGUGUGAUCCAGAAGUAGCUCCGGAAGAGACAAGUGAAGCUGGAUCAGAGUCUGAAGAAGAGGUAGCUGAGGUCCAGGAGGAUAGAAGGCAGCCCAUCUCUGAGCCUAGACCUAAGAGAACUGUCAAGCCAGCUAUUAGACUUACCUAUGAUGAGCCUGGUAAAUCCAGAGAUGAGCCUUUGACCAUAGUACACAGAGGGAUAGUCAUUAAAAUAGGAAAACACUAUACACAUUAGUUAUUAUGCCCUUAGGACUCCUUUGUUAGUUUAUUAUUGUCUGGUGAGGACACACAGACAUUUAAAAGGGGAAAGGUGUAACCCGGUUGAAAUAUGUUCUUUAGUAUAAUAAAUAGAUUAGACUAUAGAAUAAAUAGUUUAAUAAAUAGAGUGUAAGGUUAAAAAAGCUAAGAUUAACUGACCAGCAGAAGAAGUUAUGAUUUUGCUCAAUGAGAGAAAUGCCUAUGGAGUAAUGUUCAUUUACUGUAUACAGCAUUUAAAAUGUUAAAUAUUUGUUGGGUAAUAAUAUAUGUGAAAAUGCUUAAAAGAUGCCUGUGAAAAAUAGUAAGAAAGAGUUACACAAAUGUUUUGUGAAUUUAUUUUAUUUCUUAAAGUUUUGUGUAUGAGCCAAUCACAGGAGAGGUCAAGGGUAAGAAGGAAGUGAGAGUCAGAUGCCAGAGUUUUGGCGGAGAGAAAAGACAGUUACUGUUAAUGUAAUGCACCAGAAAAUGAAAGUGUUCAACACAAACUCUUAUACAAGACAUUAGUGGUGAUAGUUCUGUUUGUUUGAGUGAUAAACUCAUCACAUUUACGACAGACAUAAGUUUGAGUUAGCCGCUGAUUUAGUGGCUAGUGUUUUGCAUGGACUUUGCUGAUAAGCUAGCGGCCAGCGACCUUAAUUAUAGGCCCCAUUUACACUGCAUGGUUCAAGUGACCCAAUUCUGAUUUUUUCCUCUCAUGUGGCACGGAUCGGAUAUGACGGAUAUGAAAUUAUUUGCUAAAAAUCAUUUGAUUUCUGUCUGGAUUGAUUGUUUUUAUACGGGUGUUCUUAUGCUUAAAUUAAUUAAUGUAUGCUUUCUGUUGGAUAAAGUGUUAAUUGACUGUUAUAAUAUAAAAACUGUAUGAGCAACUGCAAAUACUCUUUCAUUUUAAAGUGUUUUAUUUUCACAUUUAACUCAAAAAACAAAUUCAGCAAUGACCCCAUUUACAAUGUCUAAAGAAGGGCAUGUUUAGCAGUCUUCUAUGAUGCAAAUAUCUUGUGAAGAAUAAUGCAUGCAUGUAGUUAUAUGUGUUAAAAGUCAACUGCAAAUUUAAGCAAAACCACAGACAGCAAAACAACAAACACUACAAAACUGAGAAACAGAUCAAGAUCUUCAAACAGAUAAAACAUCUAAACAGACCUGUAAAUGAAAGAAAUCAACCAUAACAGAAUAAAGUAAAAAUCAAGAGCAGAAAUAUGAAAAUAAACACAAUUUGACAGAUCUGAUUCAGAGAAAUAAAAGUUUUAUCAGUGAUGAUCAGAAGGGGUUUCGUGUAAUGAUAUAAAAGUACUGCUAGUUCAUUCAGUGUGAAGUAGUGUUGCUUUCGUCAGUGAAAAUUAUGACUAAAUAUCAUCGUCAACGAACCUUUAUAACGUGACGAAAAUGAGACGAGACGCAACGUAAAUGCUGGUCAUGUGACAAUGACUAUAAUUAAAUGUAUAAUGCAAUAUUGUUGACGAAUAAAAAUGAGACUAAAUGUGGUUUACAAAAUAAAAACUAUGCUAAAAUGUCUCUUCAUUUUCGUUGACGAAAACUUGACGAAACAAAAUGUUAUAACGUUAUUUCGUCUCAUUUAGUCCUACUGUGCAGAUGCGACCAACGUCACUUCCUCGCGGCAUUAUUAAGAAGAUGACAACAAACAAAGCAAAGCAGGAUUUAUACUUUCGCCUGGCUCCGCUGACUGCGAGCGCACCUUCCCGAACGGAUGAGGCUUUUAUACUUGUCGCGUUCUCCAUUGUCCUCUAAAACCAUCAGGAAUCACCGGUGAGAAGUCAUUUGCCAGUAUGGCCAGUACAAGUCUUGUGAUGAAUGAGUUGAUGAAUUAAUCAUUUCUUUAUGUACAAACUUAAAACAAUCUUAAACUAUUGGCUGUAUUUCGCACAAGACAACUUUAAGCAAAUAGUGUAUAAUUAAUAUCUAAAUGAAUUCUAAUUCUAUUUUAUACUAUAAAAAUAAAACAUACUUCAAAUAAGAAGCCUUGGACAAACUAUGCAAAAAAAAAUAAAAAAUUUCCCCUUCACCUUAUGGAGUUUGAACUUCAUAUUAAACUGCUUCUGUUUCACACAAACGCCGACAAAGACAUGCAUGUUCGGCUAGAAUCGCCCUGAACUCGUGCAUGUUCGAAUGUGGAGUUAUGCGGAAAGCUACAAAAAAUGCCGUGCACUCCGCCACAAGAAAUUAGUUAGCGUGCACUCAAAGCGGACUUCCGGCAACACAGUGAUGACGUCAUAUUUUCCGCUCUCACCCAAGCAAACUUGUGGACGCGUCGAGUAUAAAUCAGCCUUGACACAGAGAAAGGGACCAAUGGCCUGCCAGCCAGGGUUCGUCUUUGGGAGGAAAAAUUAGCAGAUUUUAUUUAAUUUAAUUUUAUUUAUUGUUUUUAUUUUUAUUUUUUUUAAUUUAUGUGUGUGUACUUCUAACAUGUUUGGUUGGUAAAAUAAAUGUUGUAAAUUCAAAUCAGAGUGUCUUCCGUAUCUGGAAUGGAUGUAUUCUUGAGUCUAUAAGGUAACAAUAAUAUAAUUGAAAUGGGUUUGGCUAAAAGAAAAUGUUGGUUUCGUCUAUACAACUAGGUACUUUUAUUAUAUUGACUGGGUUAAAUAGAAUGGCAUUACUAAAAAGUCAUCAGUUAUUGUCAACUAAAACUAGGCUAAAUGUCAUCUGUUUUUGUCGACUAAAACUAGACUAGACUAAAAAGAGUAUGAACAUGACUAAAACUAAUAAAAACUAAAAUGACAGCUUCACACAAAGACUAGACUAAAACUAAAAUUAAAACAGGCCACCAAAAAUAACACUAGUAUGAAGACACAUAAGUAAUAUAAGCAUUAAAACUAUUACAAAAGACAAAUGUCCAGAAAAUAAUCUUCAUAACUAAAACUGUAGAAAAUCUGGUUUAAUUCUUAUCUCCUGUUUUUAAUUAAUCUCUUGGGUUUAUAUUAUAAGAUCUGCUGUUGGCAGCUGAAAGCUGGAUUGAUGUGAGAAUCUGUGAGAUUAUGAAGUUAUUUCUCAUAGAUGUGAUGAUCUGCUGCUGCUCUCAUGAAUCUUCUGCUGUGUGAUCAUGUCCUUCUCUCAAUCUUCUCAUCCUCACUUUCUGAUCUUCCUGUUU